UUUUUUGCAAAUUCCUUCUAUCUUUCAUUUUGUCUUUCUGUUAAUGAAAGUGAGGCUUGUUCAUGUGGGAAUGAAGUUCACAUGACACCUGCAGUCGGUCUCUCGCCCGAAGGCCUGAAUGUGUAAGAAAUGAGCAUGCGUGGCAUCUUUGGUGUCUUUCAUGAGUCUGGAGGUUUUACUCCCUGGUUCUUUAUUGACACAUUGAAGUGCUGCUCUAUUGAAAGCUUGUGCAUUAGGCAAACCGAGUGUAUCUGCAGUACAGUAUUUCGUCAUGUCAGCCUAAUGCAGGAGGCUGUAAGUGCUCCUUACUCACCUGUUUGAGAGUCGAACUGACUCCUUCAUUCGUUCUUGUUCUGUGAGACUUGGAUUUGCAAAAGCACAAUGACUUGAGGUUUAUAGAAUGUGAAAACAAUGCAUUUGUUGUAAUAUUUGUUGCCAUUUCUUUAUAAGCUGCCUAGCAUACUGAAAGCUUUGUUUUAUUCCCAAUGAGAAAUGCUUCCAUCAUGCUGCUGUGUCUGCAGCACUAAAGGAAACCAAUGGGGCUUUACAUUCGUAUGAACAUAUCAACUGAUCUGUGUAAUGUUCCUCCACCAGCACAAACACCAACAAGAAACAGAUGUAGGGAGUUUCAGUACAGACACAUGCUGCUGCUGCUCUUGAUAUGCAGUUCAACUUGUCUGACAAAUGAGGCAGCACUUAUAAAUGUUUAGACCACAAGGAUUUCCUGCAGAUAAGACGAUACCGUAGCUGAAUAAUACACAUCUGUGGAAUCGUUUUACCAAUAUUUUUUUUGGAUUUCAAUAUUUUAAAAUCCUUUGUACAUGCCAUGCACCUCUACCACCACAAAGUGGUAACUUAUUACAAUGAGCUGCUAUUAGGUGAUGAUUUGGGAACAUGACAGAGUGAAGGAUAAAUAUUUGCUCCCUGCUGGUCCUCAUGUGUGACCUCUGACACCUUUCAGGUUAAGCCUCUUUGAAGAGCGGCCAUUACAAUUCCCAGAAGUGGCCACUUCAAUUGGUCAGUUAUUAACGACUGAGCCCAACAGGGCUCUCCGGUGUGGUCACGCAUGAUGACCACGCAGUCAAACAAAUCUGACAGAAAUGGAUGAAUUUAAGGCGGAAGCUUGUUUGAUCUGGGAGAGACAGGAUUUGAUGUGUGAGUGUGUGUGUGUGUGUGUGUGUGUGUGUGUGUGUGUGUGUGCAGUGUAGUUUUAAAGUGUCAACUAGUUCAAUUAUAUAUAUAUAUAAUUGAAACUAUUCAACAAAUGUGAAAAUGUGAGUUAUUGAGGCCAUUUCUUCUCGUGAACAAUAUGGUUACAUAUCAGAUAAUAUCAGUAUUUUUAGAGAAUUAACAACUGAAGAAUAUUUUAGAAAAUAUGAACAAAAAUUCUGCAAAUCACACUAAAUUACUGAGUGAAUAACUGCAAUAAUUUAUUCAAUAUAUAAAUACUCUUCUCUCUUUUGAAGGUCUUAAAACGGGAGAGGACCAGUCCUACUUCAGAUUUAUACUAAAGCAGAAAUCAAACAACACAAAAUAAUAAUGUUAUUGGUAAUUCAGAAGUUAAUGAGCAUCAAUGAUCUUUAUUCAGUAAAUGUUCAUCUGCGCUGAAUCAGCUUUGCUCGUUUGGUUGGCCCCCUGUGUUCGGCUGAUCUCUGCGUUUCAUUGAUUUUAAAGACCAAGAUACAAAACUUAAAUAAAAAUAAUACAUUAUAAAUAAGAUUUAUAAUGUAUUUUAUAAAGAACAAUGUAUUUAUUACGCAUACUUUGUAUAACUGUGUAAUUUCCGCUGAGGUAUAUCUUUUCUCUGUUGCUGCUAAAAUGAUUUUACUUCUGUAUAAUUAAUCGGCCACAUAAACCAAAUAUCUAUUUAAGUAAUUUAAAAAGUAGGCUUUUAAUUCCAAAAAUAUUGAAUUAUAUAAUGAUGAACAAAUGAACAAAUAAAGCCAAAUUAUAUUACGGUAAGAACGCACCUUUUCUUUUCAGUACCUCAGAAUUAAACCACAGGAUUUACUGACGAUGCGAUUCUAAAGAUAUUUAAAAACAUAAUUUUAGUUUUAAACCGAAAAACAAAAUCUUCGAGAAACUUUAAUGUUUUAGAGCCUUUGAUGCAUUUGUUUAGAACAGUAUACACACCUGUAUUUUCUGUAUAUUCCUGUGUCAUCCUCUUCAUAAAGAGAAACGCAGUAGCAACUAAUAGACACAACAAUUCCUCCGCUAUUUUUAUGAAUCUAAAACACCCCAUAAUAUUAUUACAUGUUCUAUUACAGCUCUAAGAGAGAGAGAGACUAUUAAUGAUAGCCUGUUGUUAAAAUAAUAUCAUCAUUAUACUGUUGUGUAGCCUCACAUAUUUACCUCUCCACGUGCCUCGGUACUUUAAGGUGAAUUACGUUUUUUUUCUGCAGAUUUGUGCGAUUAUAGAAUGAUUUCUUCUAUUUCCACCGUCACGCGGGCCUGUACUUGGUAAUUAUUCGAUAAUAUCCACAUAUGUAGGGACCUUCAUGACAACAAAAGAUUUACCUUUUUACCCACACUAUCAUUUCAUUCAUUAUCGGUUCAGACUUUUCUAAAUUCAUCAACGUUUCUUUUCGUUUAAAUACAUUUAGAACAUUUAGAAGACGCCACUUCCUGCAUCAGAAACACGAUCUCUUUGUCUGUGGAGUUUGAGAGUUUGAACAUGUUCGACUGCAUUCAUUUUAGAGGCUGCGUUUCUAUAAUGUUGUUGUGAUUCGGUUUGAUGUCGCUCUAUGGAGGAAUAUUCAGCGUGUAGUUUGGAUUUAGGCCAUUCAGACCUGCGCAGGCCUGAGCUGCAGUGCUGCGUCUCCGCCGCUAGGUGUCGCUGUUUCCCUCGGAUGGUCUGAAGGUUCUCUGAGAUGUUUGAUUGUCAUCAUCGCCUCGUGUUCUGCGAUGUGGAGUUUCGAGAGGAGGCUGAGUGUGUUGCUGUUGCUUCCCAUGAUGAGCUUUGUGUUGUUUUGGAGAAGUGUCGUCGGCACAGCUCGUCCUUAAUGACAAAGCUGUUUGAAUGUGAAGGCCUAUUAAUAAUAAGGCCCACUGCAGGCUGCCGUUCAUUUAUCAGGUCGUUCAAAAAUGAUCCUUAUGCGAGUAUGGACGAAUAACAGGACUCUCUUGUCUAUGUUAGUAUAAUUAGAGCUUCACUAACAGCUUGUUGGUCAUUUAAUUUAAAAAUGAAAUGUACAUCUUUAGAUAGAAAAUAUAAUUGAUAUCAUAUUUCUGAAGUAUUGUUUUGUAGAUAAAGUAUAGAUAAAGUAGCCUUAAUUUAUUUAUUCCAUGUGUCAGAAGUGGAGGCUGUCCUAAUAAUAAUAAUAAUAAUAAUAAUAAUAAUAAUAAUAACAAUAACAAUAACAAUAACAGUAAUAACAAUAAUAAUAAUAAGACAAUAAUAAUAGAAAUGCUUCUUAUGCUGCCUUAAAACGUUGAAUUAAAGAAAGUAGAAGAAAGACAAAUUGUGACCUAUUUAUUCUUGGAUGGUCUGUUAGGGUCAUUUUGUUAUCGUAAUCAUUGUUUGCACCAAAAAAACAGCUUCCAAUUGAUAAAGAGUAUUGUUCCUUAUAUAAAACGUACCCUAGUCCAGUUUUUACUAAAUACUUACUUCUACUAAAUUGUCAUCUGGAGACACACGCAAAGCACAAUACACACACUAUUCUUUUCUUUUUAUUUAGAAAUUCAUUUCAGAGUGAGAAUUGUUUUAUUUAUUAUUUCUUCACAAAAUAAUGCAACAAAAUAAAGAUCUUAUGAAUCCAUCAGUGUCAGCAUCACAAACUAGACAUAAAACACAAAUCAGUGUUGUUGAGAACACGAACGAGCCUCUGCCGUGAUUCCCUAACGCAGGCGCAGUGGAGAACAUAUUUGGAAUGACCUAUCCUGGCGCCUGACGUCAGCGCGUAAACAAUUAUCAAUGACUAGUUUUGUUGCACGCAGCGUUGACUCUCCUUUUGGUGCCUGCAGUCUGUAGGUAUGUCUUACUGACUUUCAGAUUCAGUAGCUUUUACUCUGUUUAUGGUUGAACAUUUGGCACUUGUUUAUCCACCGUGCGCUCCGUUACGCACAGAGUGGAAUGGAGACGUCGCACCACGUAAAAGCAACGUGACCCACACAAGCUCUAGGGAACCAAGCUUCUGCUUCUCUUGGCGCUGCUGAGGCUGCGGCAACAGCAUCGCACACUCCGCUGCUGCGUUCAACGUCUCCAUCUCUCACAAAUCGUUUUCACUUUUACGCAUUUUUCCCCCUUGCAGCCUGAACGUGAGGACACUACAAUUUUGAAAUGUACAGUCGUUGCUGCUGCUGGUUAGUAGCUCGUUCUGGCUCCGUCUUCCUGCAAGAUGUUGACUCAGGUGCUUCAGUCGAGCAAGGUGUAGGUUUGGAGAUCGCUGUUCAGUGGAGGUCUCUCUCCUGCUGGCUUCACUGCACAAAACGGGCUCUCUUUCCGGUGCCGCGAGGACCUCACUGUGCAGCUGACUGUGGGGAGACAGGGGGAGGAUGGAGCGUGCUGGGUGAUGAGGAGUGUAGGUAUCUUCUAUGGCACAUUUGUGAUAACACCUUCUGCCAAGCUGAUAUAUGCUUUAAAACCACGUGGCGUCGUUUUUUGGUGCACUCGUCCCUCCACCAGACAAAAUCUAAAAUGUUGGGUUCUGCUGUGUCCGUCUCCCUAAGAAGGUCCUCAGUGGUGCCUUUCCUCCCACCCCCUUUCUGCAGCCAGCGGAGGCUGCGGCCGUGAGCCGCACGUGCACGUCGCUCCCCACGUCUAUCAAAUGUUGCCAAAAACGACGCUGUGUGCAACUAAAGAGGGAGACGCGUCAUUCAAACAGAACAAUGGACAUCAGUUCACAAUGGUCAACGCAUAAGUGCUGCGAAAUGUGUUUGGGUUUCUGUGCACGUCGUCCAUAGCAGCCGGUGCGUGCGUGUGUGUGUAAGAGAGAGAACGAGAGGUAGAGAGAGGGGGGAGAGAGAGAGAGAGAGAGGGAGAGAGAGAGAGAGAGGGAGAGGGAGAGGAGGGGACCAGCGACGCAGCAGCUCCGCGCGCACUGUCAUCCGAGGCUGGGGAGGAGAUGUUGGGAUGCGGGAGAGGAUGCUGGCAGCAGUGACGCCCCGGCCUCGGCUUGUCUCUGCUCACUGAAGCGAAAGUAAUGCCUUUCAUUUCAUUUUUAAAAACACAAGUGUGGGUCGGAUCAACUCAUUGUGCAGGUUUACUCAGUCAGUGAAGGCGUGCAACGUUUGGGUUUCUCCCUGGACUCCUGGCUCUGAUAGUUUGGUAAAAAUACUGCGUGGACUUGAACCGGAGGUGCGGGAUUUAUUCAAAGUUUACGGCUUGUAAGUAUGAUUUUUUUUUAAUGUUUUAUUUGUGGAGUCAAUACGAGGAUAUUAGAAAUUCGAAUGCUUGACUAUUUGUUAUAUCAUAGUAUAAUAAUGAUGUAUGUAGUAAAAUACAACUAUACUCAGACAACAUUCCCUUGACAUUAUGGUUGAAGUAAAACAGAAAAUUGCACUUUGAUUUAAAUAGUGAACCCUAAAGUGGUGAGUGGCAGCAGGCUGCUCCUUCCCAUAUUAGCGGGAGCAUCCAUUGAGCGGUGAUGAGGCGGGCUGAGUGGCCCCAGAGCUGCGUUUGUAAAGCAAACAGUUGUGUGAUUGUUAGCAGAGCCUGGGAAAAUGUCCCCUUGGCUGGGAGGUGGAGGGACUUGACGCCAGAGCCUCUUGUUAAAAAAAGACUUGUGUGCUCCCAGACAGCAUUGUGAUGCUAAUGAGCACCAGCACGUUGUUGAACUUGAUGUUGACUUUUUUUUUCUUUCUUUCUUUUGAAGAUUUUUUUUUCUUUCUCUUGUGUUCUUUUUUUUUCUUGGUCACUUGUUUGUGGGAAAAUCCUCUCCGGGGCUGCAGUGUGAAAUUAAUUAAUCAGGUCUUUGCAGUUAACUACAAUGGAGAGCCAUUAAAAACACACACAGUCACUUUUGUUGUUUUUUGUUGUUUGUUUAGUGUUUGAUGAUAAAGUUUAUUUCGUAAAACAUGUUCUAAAAAGAGACGAGACACUUACUGGGAUUAUUUUUUACUGAUUUCACAUUUUAAUGGGUACACGAUUUCUUUCUCCAAAACCAAAAUGAACAGUUACGUCAAAUUAUUGCAUAUUUAAAUACCUGACAUUUUAUUUUAUAAAUAAUUGUAAUGUUUGAAUACAACACAUGUGACUGGUUUGUCAUUGAAAUUAUUUUAAUUUAAUUUAUAAACAAAAUAUUCGAGCAGAAUUAUCGCAUUUUCAAAGCAUUAUUACAACAUGCAGUUUCUUUCUUUCUUUCUUUCUUUCUUUCUUUCUUUCUUUAAUACAGUGCAACAGGUGUAGGCUUCCUGAAAACAGAAUUACCAGAACUGGACUGGACUUGAAACACAUCAUUUCUCAUGCCACAUAAAAUCAAACAUGCAACACUAUAUUCAUCCUAAAGAUGUCUUGUGAAAUGUAACUUAAAUUGACUUCAGCACACACAAUUUAGCUCUGAAUAUAAUAACUAAUGCCAUCGUAAGAACUAUAUGUAAAAUUCGGAUGACAUAUAUAUUUUAUUUAACUAUGUGCUAAAGUCAAAUUUAUUCUGUUAAAUAUGCCAGUUAUAGCAAAAAUUAGAGUUAGGAAGAAAAUCAUGAUAUGUUUUGCUUCUCGAAGUCUGUUUGCAGAUUGUGAUAAUCAUUCUCAGUGUGUGAUUUAUUUCAUAAUUUAAUUUAAAAAUAGUUUGAACGGGAAAGUGUCACUGUAGGUGAACUGUUGUGCUCCAUGUUGAACGCGGUAGUUUGACUCCGAUCAGAAUAUGACAAUUAUUUUCCUACGUUUUCAUACUCGCUUCUCUUUUCUAAAUGUGCUUUUAUUAAAUUGCAUUAGAUCCCAGUAGGUGUAUCUCUGCCUGAACAAACCCGGACUGUUUAAGUGUUUGUUUCUUCACCCUCCGAUUUGAACACAGCGCCGUGAAUUCAUUGAAUUCGUUUCAGCACCAAGGACAGAGACUGUACUCCUCCCCAGCGGUGCUGAACUCGAGUCUCUGUACAGUUUUCUCUCAUUUUCUUUUUAAAUCGAGCACUUUUCUCAGGCAUGAUUCAGUCACUGCUGGUGCAUCUUUGUUUCUUUAGAUAUUGUUUGGAAGUUUGGCAAUGACAGCAACAAAAGAGAGAGAAAAAAAUCCUUUAUUUUCCGGAGUGUUUAGCAAAAGGCUUUAAAAAGCCACAUGGAAGGUGAAUUAAUGAGUCUGUCGAGUGACUCACGUUUUACUUUUAUCAUUGAAAUUUGUUAGACAAAUAGGAGCAAAGAAUAAGACAUUGAACACCAUGCACAGACUACAAUAGAAUAGAAUAGAAAAGUCGAAGUCAGUGUAAGAUGUUACACACCUUAAUGUACGUCUGACAGGAUGUGACGCAGUCAGGGGGCGUGUUCACAUGAAUUCACGUUAGGCUGAUGGGAGGGAGAGCUGAGAGUCAAUCAGGUUUAAUUUACAGUACAAUUAUGGUUUCAGCAAAGGCAGAGCAAAAUAAUCAGAAACGCACACACACGCACACACACACGCACACACACACACACACACACACACACACACAUUAAAACAGUUGCUUUGACCUUAACACCAGCCACUAUUCCUUCUACUUAAUUCAAACACGUUUGAACAUGAAUCAUAUUUUAAUAAAUAUCUCUCUUCAACUAAUCAUCUUAUUUACAGUAGUAGUCUGUAUAUAAUUUGAGAAAAGAAUUAAAUGACAUUUCUAUCAUGCAUUUUAUGUUUCUCAAACACGACGUCUUCAUUAUGGAUUCAUUGAGGAUGGGGAUCUUAUUUUGAAAAGAUGAAACAUUUUUCCCGUGAUAAAUUUCCUUUUUUUUCUCUCCCCUGAAAUUCUUCCUCCGCCAAAGAAACAGCUUUUAUUCGCAGGCCUACAGAAAACUGAUUCAAAUGACCAGUAACACACACGAGCAUUGCCGAAUAUACGAGAGGCUCAUUAUUAAGCAUUUGGAACAUUGGUGCCAUCUCUUAUUGUAGAAUAAAUGCAUCAUUUUGAAUAAAGGGUUAGCAUGCAGUGUGAAUAGUACAGGGCUCUAUUUAACAUGUGCAGCUAAAGGCGACACGCUAACGCACCAUAGGCUUAUGUUACUGUAAAGCAGCAGCAAAGGCUGUGAUGUGGUCCAGAUGUUGUUACGCGUAUUAGUGCUUUAGUCAGCCGUUGCAUUGUGCUCGUUAGACUGAUACAUCGCUCAUUAAAAACACAAAUGUGGCGCUUUUUAAGGGUCGUUUCAACCAAUGAGAAAAAUACAAAAACAUAUGCAAAAUUAUAGAAUAAAACAAUUCGUUUUGAUAGAAAAUGAAGAGGAUUUAUGAAUAAAAAGUAUACAAUAUACUAGUAUACCUGCAAAGCAUUGUGCUGCUCUGUGCCGUGUAACCUGCAGGUUGCAAUGUACCUUUGCUCAGGGCUCGUGACUCACUGCUUGCUCAGUGUUUCUGUUUGGGGACAAACUUUUCUGUCCUUAUUCAUUCGGACAGCCUGUGCAGCUGAAAGACGGAUGGUUCAUUGUCACCGAUUCCUUAAACACGGCCAGCUGUGUGAUGUACUGCCCGAGGCCUAUCCAGUCAGGUGACAGUGCAGUUGUUGCACACUGUUGCACUCUGUACCUGCAUUUAGGACGAAGCUGUUAUUAUUGAUCUGAAUAGCGUUACUGCGCGGCGGUGAUUGAAACGUGGUGCACGAUAGAUGUUUUCUAGAUGGAUCACAGAAAUAUGAAAUGAUUCCUCACUUUGUUUGACCCCCCCCCCCCUCAGUGGAUUCUGCAGCCCUCAUGGGACCCCAUACUGAGAUCCAGUGACCAUUUUUUAUGUUUUGUGAUGGUGCAAAGCAUUUAAAAGCCUGUAUCAUGAUGUCAACACGUUCCCCUGUGAAUCUCUUACUGUCCAUCCAGUUUGUGUUUUCUCCGCCUGUCCGUUACGUCCAAUCCCUACACCGCUGCUGCGCACCCAUGUGUGCGCGCGCGCCAAUGAGCGUGCUUAAUUCCGUAGACGCACCGCGCGUCUCCCCAUGGCAGUCUGACCUCGAGGCCCCCCGGGCGGCCCUCCGCCUCCUGCGCCCCACAUCUGACACUCUGAUAGCCCAGGCGCGUUUAUCUUCACUCAGUUUCUCUUCCUUCGGGUCCUGCUGCAGUGUUGCUGUGUUUUUUAUUUAUCUGACAGCCCGGACUGGACGUAAUUCCUUGAUUAUUCCUCUAAGGAUUCACAUUCACUCGCAAACACCCACGGCAGUGCUGCGCGUGAAAUGUGCUUUGUCUUUGCAAAUGUGCCGGCAUCCCACAUGGUGGACGACAGGGAGCAUCGCGGCUGGAGAGAGUCGCGAAGAGACGCUCCCCUCCCGGGUUGUCUAGAAGAAUAUCGGCUGCAUUAAAGCCUUGUGGAUUUUUGAUAACUUUGUGUUAUUUAAUAAGGAAGCACGGCAGCACGGCUGCCCGAUUGUGGAAACUGUCGUUUCAAACCGACUGAAUAAGAAUCUGUGGAGUGCAGUCACACAAAAAUACACACACACACACACACACACACACACACACACACACACUCUGCAGGCCUGAGUCUGAACCUGCAGGACAACAGGUCAGAGGAGGCACACAUCACCUCCUGCUCUGAGGGUCAGAGGUCACAGAGUGGGUCAGAACAACACUUCAUCACUCCAAAGAUACAGCAGGAAGACGAGGAGGAGGAGGCAGUGGAGGAGGAAAACGAGAAGCAGAGUGGGUGGAAGGAUGGAAGGAGAGAAGGAUGGAAGCAGUUCGAGGAGGUGGUUGGAAGCGGGUGAACCCAGAGCAGGUGAACACAGCUGUGGAUCGCCAUGGGCUCUCUGGCUGCCCUCCUCCUGUGGCCCCGGCGCUGCAUACAGGGGUCCCGGUGAGCCGGCAGGGGCCAGCCAAAGCUGCGGCAGAGUGGGCAGGCUAGGCCAGCCAAGCCAGGAGAGAGGCAGGUGAGGCGGGUGAGCCGAGCUCUCAUCCCCGCCGGCUAGGAGCCUCCGCGGCAGAGCGGAGCAGCGCGGAGCAGCGCGGAGCAGCAGAAAUCAAUAUGGAGGAGAGAGGCUAGCAGAGGUUGCCCAGCACCGCCUGCAGGCCUCGGAGCCCAGGGACCAACAACCACCACUGCUCCCAGCUCCUCUCUCCAUCUCUCUUUCUAUCUAUUUCUCCAACAGUCCCAGCACCAGCCAGGGCCAGGGCCCUAACCGCCCCACACGCAGUGUGUGUGUCAGAAGGUGCACAUGUGUGUGUAAGAGACAGAGAGAAAGAGAGUCUUUGUGUGUGGUUCAGCCGGAGGGUUUUUUUUUUUUUUGCUGCGUCCAACACCACUUGAUAAAACUUUGUCAGAGAGACACGGAGACAGUGAGGGGGGGGACGGAAGAAGAAUAAGACAGGACGUCGAAGGUCGCUUUUCUUCCAGCUCCCUCCCUCUUAUUACUCAUUCCACCGUAACUGUUUGAAAAGGAGCCAUCGGAGACGGUGCACAGGAUGUUUCUGCUCAGUCCCACUUCCGAGUGCGUAGCGCACAAUAUUCCUAACAUCUCACGAGCCAGGAUGAAAGGACAAUUUGAACUUUUUCUCUCAUCGACAGCAUCAGACACAACCUGUCUUUUCGCCUUAGAUUUUCUUACCCUCACUACAGCAGCUCCCAUCAGAGGAUAUGGCAGUGCAGUAUUGAUCUAUAAGGUGGAAGAAGGGAAGGCGGGCCCCAGCUUUCAUACCCCCCUCUCUCUCUCUCUCUCUCUCUCUCUCCCUCUCUCCAUGUGUGUGGAAAUAGCACCUGAAGUCCACUUACUGCUGUGCAGCUGGGAUCCCAUGAAAGCAGAAGUGAAUGGCUGCUAAUUGAAUGAAAGAUGAAAAGGACAGUAGUUGUUGUACCUGCUCAACCCC